AAAUUGAAGAGUUUGAUCAUGGCUCAGAUUGAACGCUGGCGGCAGGCCUAACACAUGCAAGUCGAACGGUAACAGGAAACAGCUUGCUGUUUCGCUGACGAGUGGCGGACGGGUGAGUAAUGUCUGGGAAACUGCCUGAUGGAGGGGGAUAACUACUGGAAACGGUAGCUAAUACCGCAUAACGUCGCAAGACCAAAGAGGGGGACCUUCGGGCCUCUUGCCAUCGGAUGUGCCCAGAUGGGAUUAGCUAGUAGGUGGGGUAACGGCUCACCUAGGCGACGAUCCCUAGCUGGUCUGAGAGGAUGACCAGCCACACUGGAACUGAGACACGGUCCAGACUCCUACGGGAGGCAGCAGUGGGGAAUAUUGCACAAUGGGCGCAAGCCUGAUGCAGCCAUGCCGCGUGUAUGAAGAAGGCCUUCGGGUUGUAAAGUACUUUCAGCGGGGAGGAAGGGAGUAAAGUUAAUACCUUUGCUCAUUGACGUUACCCGCAGAAGAAGCACCGGCUAACUCCGUGCCAGCAGCCGCGGUAAUACGGAGGGUGCAAGCGUUAAUCGGAAUUACUGGGCGUAAAGCGCACGCAGGCGGUUUGUUAAGUCAGAUGUGAAAUCCCCGGGCUCAACCUGGGAACUGCAUCUUAUACUGGCAAGCUUGAGUCUCGUAGAGGGGGGUAGAAUUCCAGGUGUAGCGGUGAAAUGCGUAGAGAUCUGGAGGAAUACCGGUGGCGAAGGCGGCCCCCUGGACGAAGACUGACGCUCAGGUGCGAAAGCGUGGGGAGCAAACAGGAUUAGAUACCCUGGUAGUCCACGCUGUAAACGAUGUCGACUUGGAGGUUGUGCCCUUGAGGUGUGGCUUCCGGAGCUAACGCGUUAAGUCGACCGCCUGGGGAGUACGACCGCAAGGUUAAAACUCAAAUGAAUUGACGGGGGCCCGCACAAGCGGUGGAGCAUGUGGUUUAAUUCGAUGCAACGCGAAGAACCUUACCUGGUCUUGACAUCCACGGAAGUUUUCAGAGAUGGAAUGGUGCCUUCGGGAACCGUGAGACAGGUGCUGCAUGGCUGUCGUCAGCUCGUGUUGUGAAAUGUUGGGUUAAGUCCCGCAACGAGCGCAACCCUUAUCCUUUGUUGCCAGCGGUCCGGCCGGGAACUCAAAGGAGACUGCCAGUGAUAAACUGGAGGAAGGUGGGGAUGACGUCAAGUCAUCAUGGCCCUUACGACCAGGGCUACACACGUGCUACAAUGGCGCAUACAAAGAGAAGCGACCUCGCGAGAGCAAGCGGACCUCAUAAAGUGCGUCGUAGUCCGGAUUGGAGUCUGCAACUCGACUCCAUGAAGUCGGAAUCGCUAGUAAUCGUGGAUCAGAAUGCCACGGUGAAUACGUUCCCGGGCCUUGUACACACCGCCCGUCACACCAUGGGAGUGGGUUGCAAAAGAAGUAGGUAGCUUAACCUUCGGGAGGGCGCUUACCACUUUGUGAUUCAUGACUGGGGUGAAGUCGUAACAAGGUAACCGUAGGGGAACCUGCGGUUGGAUCACCUCCUUACCUUAAAGAAGC
rnacentral:rRNA from 1 species